UGAAACAUUUUAUUUACAUGGACUAUGUCCUAGUACAAACAACAUCACGUUACUAUACAAGCUUACGGAAUUCACUUAGAACAAUAAUCUACUUUGUAAUUCCAUCUCCUGCAGAGAUAAAUAAUUUAGAACUUUUACCAGUUCUUCUUGAAGUUAUCUGCAGUUCAAACAGUCAAAAAUGUAGUUUAAGUUCACCUAAGCUGACACCACAUGCAGC
rnacentral:lncRNA from 1 species